CCUUGAUACCGUAACUUCGGGAGAAGGUAUGCCCCGGUAGUGUGAGGCGCCUGCGCGCUGAGCAUGAUGGGGUCGCAGAGAAUCGGUGGCUGCGACUGUUUAUUAAAAACACAGCACUCUGCAAAGACGAAAGUCGACGUAUAGGGUGUGACGCCUGCCCGGUGCCGGAAGGUUAAGUGAUGGGGAGCAAGCUCUUGAUCGAAGCCCCGGUAAACGGCGGCCGUAACGAUAACGGUCCUAAGGUAGCGAAAUUCCUUGUCGGGUAAGUUCCGACCUGCACGAAUGGCGUAACGAUGGCCACACUGUCUCCUCCCGAGACUCAGCGAAGUUGAAGUGUUUGUGAUGAUGCAAUCUACCCGCGGCUAGACGGAAAGACCCCAUGAACCUUUACUGUAGCUUUGCAUUGGACUGUGAACCGGCCUGUGUAGGAUAGGUGGGAGGCGCUGAAACCGAGUCGCCAGAUUCGGUGGAGCCAACCUUGAAAUACCACCCUGGUUUGUUUGCGGUUCUAACCUUGGUCCGUUAUCCGGAUUGGGGACAGUGCAUGGUGGGCAGUUUGACUGGGGCGGUCUCCUCCCAAAGCGUAACGGAGGAGUUCGAAGGUACGCUAGGUACGGUCGGAAAUCGUGCUGAUAGUGCAAUGGCAUAAGCGUGCUUGACUGUGAGACUGACAAGUCGAACAGGUGCGAAAGCAGGACAUAGUGAUCCGGUGGUUCUGAAUGGAAGGGCCAUCGUUCAACGGAUAAAAGGUACUCUGGGGAUAACAGGCUGAUACCGCCCAAGAGUUCAUAUCGACGGCGGUGUUUGGCACCUCGAUGUCGGCUCAUCUCAUCCUGGGGCUGUAGCCGGUCCCAAGGGUAUGGCUGUUCGCCAUUUAAAGAGGUACGUGAGCUGGGUUUAAAACGUCGUGAGACAGUUUGGUCCCUAUCUGCCGUGGGCGUUGGAUACUUGACGGAGCCUGCUCCUAGUACGAGAGGACCGGAGUGGACGUACCUCUGGUGUACCGGUUGUCAUGCCAAUGGCAUUGCCGGGUAGCUAUGUACGGAAGAGAUAACCGCUGAAGGCAUCUAAGCGGGAAACUCGUCUGAAGAUUAGGUAUCCCGGGGCCUCGAGCCCCCUGAAGGGUCGUUCAAGACCAGGACGCUGAUAGGUCAGGUGUGGAAGCGCAGUAAUGCGUUAAGCUAACUGAUACUAAUUGCCCGUGCGGCUUGAUCCA
rnacentral:rRNA from 1 species